AUUGGACAGCUGCAGCUAUGGCUCUGCGCUACCCUAUAGCGAUGGGCCUCAACAAGAGCCACAAAGUGAUGAAGAACGCGAGCAAGCCGAGGCACAGAGGGCGGAGCCGGCGCCUCACCAAGCACACCAUGUUUGUGCAGGACAUGAUCAGGGAGGUGUGUGGCUUUGCACCCUAUGAGCGGUGUGCCAUGGAACUGCUCAAGGUGUCCAAGGACAAGCGGGCACUCAAGUUCAUCAAGAAGAGGGUGGGGACACACAUCCGUGCUAAAAGGAAGCGGGAGGAGCUGGGCAACAUGCUGGCGGCCCUGAGGAAAGCUGCGGCCAAAAAGGACUGA